CCUACGGGAGGCAGCAGUGAGGAAUAUUGCGCAAUGGGCGAAAGCCUGACGCAGCCACGCCGCGUGAAGGAUGACACCCCUCUGGGGCGUAAACUUCUUUUAUACAGGAAGAACAACCGGGUCGCCCGGCUUGACGGUACUGUAUGAAUAAGCACCGGCUAACUCCGUGCCAGCAGCCGCGGUAAUACGGAGGGUGCAAGCGUUGUCCGGAUUCAUUGGGUGUAAAGGGUGUGUAGGCGGAACGGUAAGUCAGAGGUGAAAUCCCGCAGCUCAACUGCGGAACUGCCUUUGAUACUGCCGAUCUUGAAGUCCCGGAAGGGGUGGCUGGAAUUCGUGGUGUACCGGUGAAAUGCGUAGAUAUCACGAGGAACACCAAAGGCGUAGGCAGGUCACUGGACGGGAACUGACGCUGAGGCACGAAAGUGUGGGGAGCGAACAGGAUUAGAUACCCUGGUAGUCCACACUGUAAACGAUGAAUACUCGGUGUCGCCUUCUUUUGAGGGCGGUGCCUAAGCUAACGCGAUAAGUAUUCCACCUGGGGAGUACGCUCGCAAGAGUGAAACUCAAAUGAAUUGACGG
rnacentral:rRNA from 1 species